GUGAAUCUUCAACACUCGUCUUCCCGCAUUGGUUCUCCCUGAUCUAGAGCCUUAUAUUUAUAAAUUGCCAUUAUCUGUGCAGCAGCCUUCCUCUCUGCUAUAUUUUCUAUCAGGCUUUGCACAGGCCUAACUACUAAGGGUAUAAGACACGGCAGGAGUAGACACAACAUUAAAAUCAGUAGGACUCCACCUACCACUGCCUUAAGCCCUCCAAACCACUCAUACCAGCUACCAAACCAAC